rnacentral:rRNA from 1 species
GUCUCAGUUCGGAUUGGAGUCUGCAACCCGACUCCAUGAAGCUGGAUUCGCUAGUAAUCGCGCAUCAGCCACGGCGCGGUGAAUACGUUCCCGGGCCUUGUACACACCGCCCGUCAAGCCAUGGAAGCCGGGGGUGCCUGAAGUGCGCUGCCGCAAGGAGCGCCCUAGGGUAAAACCGGUGACUGGGGCUAAGUCGUAACAAGGUAUC